rnacentral:misc_RNA from 1 species
AACACCUCAACUCUCAUGGCUUGCCAUGAUGAGCUUGGACUUUGGGGGUCUUGUUGGCCUGUGAGCCAGCUCCUCUUAAAUGAAUUAGCUUGCCGGUGUUUGGUGGCGUCACGGGUGUGAUAACUAUCUACGCUUGUGGUUUCCCACCAGGUAACCUUCAGCAAUGGAGGUUCCCCGGAGCUUAUAAAUGUCUCUCCUCGGCGAGGACACAUUUUGACC